UACGUAGGGGGCAAGCGUUGUCCGGAUUUAUUGGGCGUAAAGAGCGUGUAGGCGGCUAGAUAGGUCCGUUGUGAAAACUCGAGGCUCAACCUCGAGACGCCGGUGGAAACCAUCUAGCUAGAGUCCGGAAGAGGAGAGUGGAAUUCCUGGUGUAGCGGUGAAAUGACGCAGAUAUCAGGAAGAACACCCGUGGCGAAGGCGGCUCUCUGGGCCUGUACUGACGCUGAGGAGCGAAAGCGUGGGGAGCGAACAGG
rnacentral:rRNA from 1 species